CUUAUUCUCACCCUAAGAGAAAAACUUGUGGUUUCCUUCCUACCCAAAAGGAAGUUUUAUCUAUUUAAAUCUAUUGUUUAUGUCUUUGUUCUGACUGGGACCGCAUCAAGUGGUAUUAGAGCCAUGGCAUCAAACACUGAUCUCGUUGAGAAAUUGCAGGUGGUUCUUAUUUUGGUUUUCGAGCUGAAAGCAUUUUUUAUUUCAUCUUUUCCUCAUAAUUGUGAGAAGAGGUGUUCAUCCCUAACUUCUACCAGUAAGGUUACCACCAUUCGUCAAUCAUUCAACGAAUUUGAAAAGGGAGAGAAAGACUCCAAGGAUGUGCAACAAGGAGCAAUGAACUUUCCUCGCUUCUUGGGAAAUAAUCCAGCAACGUGUCUACAAAAUCCAACUCAUUCAUUUGCAGGCUACAAAAUUAUUGAGGCUCAAAAAGCAUCCUAUAUAGUCUGUCACUUGGAUGGG
rnacentral:lncRNA from 1 species